UGCUGGAAGAAAAACAGCUGCCAUGAUUGCUGUUUGAUUGAGAGCGCUUACACACACACACACACAAAAAACACGUCGGACGGCAAAGAGGAGCUACAAAUGCCUGAGGAUUCAGCUUUAGAGGAUCAACACACAUUUUCCUUUAAAAAUAUAUAAGUAUUAUAAGGUUUUUCCUCUCUCUUUCUCUCUCUCGCUCUCUUUUAAGAAAAUGUACUACGUAGAAUUGCUUUUCUUCUUCCCAUCCCCCCUUCAAAACCUCAAGCAAACUCGAGGAAUCAUGCCAAAAGUCCCGUUGCUAGUUACCAAGUGCAUUUUUUUAAACGUCCCUUUGAUACUUCUUUCCCUCAUGCUUGCUGUGGAAUAUGCAAGUGAGAUAAUCUUUCCAUUACUUAGAAAAGCAAUUAAAAACAACUUUCAGUUGAACUUUCCUUUUUAUUGAGGGGGCAAAAGAAGGGGGGGAGGGGAGAAGAGGGAGAAUAUUUUUUCCUCUUCCCAGAACCCAACAUUUGGCUUUUUCCAUUUGUGGCAGAUCACUGUAACUCUAUUGUAAAACAACUUCCUGCCCCUUUUGGCUCAAGUUCCAGAAGCUGCUAGGCUAAGUUCAUAGCACAAACUUUUUUUCUCCUUGCCGAAGAAGCAAGACAAAAAAAUCCUUGCUAAUUAUUUUGCCCUCUUUUUUGCAAAUGGAUUCAUAAGAUGAAUUUAUUGCAGUCCCCUUAACAAUGUUACAAAAGAGACGUCCGUAUACCAGCUGGAUAAUUCAUAAAUUUAAAAGUGAGAGUAACUACUCAAGGGACCAACAAAAGUCAGUUGCAUAAUACUGCUGGCCGUCAAAAUAAAGAUUUCAGUGAUGAAUGGAGAAUAUCAUACAGAAGAAACAGAUGAAUGUGCUCCCACCAAUUACACAGCAUGGAGAGGAGCCAAUGUAUGAGGAAAAGAGGUGAGAAGAGUGUAUGGAGGGGAGCAGUGCCUACAAAAAAUGCUCCCACUGCUCCACUAUUGCACAGAAGCUCUUUUGAGUGAUCUUUACACAGUUGGGGUUCCAAUGGCAAUUGAUGGGAUUAAAGGCCUGGCAGGGGACCUGCACUGGUAAAGAGCCUAUAACAGCCCUGCCUCUGCUUCUUCCAUGAGGCUGCUACCCCUAUACAAUAGAGGGAGGAUGUUAGGAAGAUGCCUUGCAGUUUACCUCAAGAGGCUUCAUAAGAUUCCAGAUAUUCCUGAAUUUCAUCCUAGUCUGAGCAUCUGGGUAUUCAUUCAACCUUAAUGCUAUUGAAGUACUGUUGACCAAUAUAUGGCACUGUGCAGCAAAAGUGAAAACUUUAAUUCCUCCUGGACUGAUUUUGACUCCAUGCAGAAAAGCACUUAAGCACAUGCUUAAAUCCAUCCUUUUUCAACUCUUAAGCAUGUGCUUAAGUUCCAUUGACUUAAACAUGUGCUUCACUUGAAACAUGUUCCUAGGUACUUUUCUGAAUCAGGGCCUUAAAAAGGAACAAUACUAGUAAGACGAUGAUGGAGUACUAGAAAACAGACAAACCAUUAUGACAGUGCACUGCUUAGAAAGAGGAAAGGGAUAAAGAAACAAAAAUAAACAAAAAUAAAUGUAUGUUAGCCAUUAAAGUCUGCCAAGAUUAAGUCCUUCUAUGCACAUUACUUAUUGGAUUUACUACAAAAUGCAGAUCUGCAUAUCAGGGCACUUUUGUCAAGAGUGGCUUCUCCUUCCUGAAAAUCAAAUCCUGCGCCAAACUGGGCAGUACUGAUAUAGAAUACCAUGCACUGAGAAUCAGAACUGAUCCAAAUAAGAUAUUUUAGUGUGGAGCAACAUUUCAUAACCAACAUAAAUCUAGCACUCAUUAUAGCUCAUGGGAGGAAAACUAAAUCACAAGUUCCAAUAAUUCCCCACCUGGUCACACAGCAUGUGUACAAAUUAAGAAUUACAAAUUAAGAAUACUCAAACAACGUGAUCUGAAGUCAAUGGAAAAAGAGUCCUGUUGAUUAAAACAGCUUUUAGAUCAGGGCAAAGGAAUACACUUAAACCUCAUCAACAUUAUGAUUUUUUAAUCAUGUAUUAACCUAUAGUUAAAAACAACUAGCAACAAAUGCCUGUUCCUUGUCUACACUACAAUUUACCAUUGUGUCAGUUUAAACAUGAUUGCAAACCAAAUUGGGUGCAAGCCCUUAGUGAACUGCUAUGGCACUGAGUAAAAUUUGACAGCCAUUUGGAAUUCAUACUUUAGCAAUGUAUCCUCAAUUGUCCAUAUGAAAACCAAAAGGCCCGAUGUUCCCCAUAUAUCUCGCUCCAAUUGUUCUGAAAUAAACUAUAUCAACAGGUACUUUACAUAGGAUUCCAGAGAGACUUUACCUUGUUACUGCAGAUGUACCAUUAUUCACAGAAGUCAUGGGGCUUAUAAAUCCUGAAACUAUUUUGCAAUUAGAACUUCUCCCUCUGCUGAUUCAGCACGUGCUUUCUGUCUAACCCAGCAUGCCAUCAGUGCUCUCAUGAUGGUCUUCUCCUCUGCAACUUCUGCCAUCUGGAAUAAUCUGCCUCUCUCUUUCCACCUCUUCUCAAAUCUCCCCUGAAAACACAUUUUCUCCUUUGUCUAUACACUUCUUAAUUUAUCCCUCUCUCUCCCUUUAGAAAAUGCACGACAUUGAGUUGUGUUGUAUUGAAAUGUUGUUUGGGUUCAUCGCUAUUUUUUUUCUCAAUUUCUAUUUCAGGCAGAAGGAAGGAAUUCAUUUUAGGAGUACACUAAUAGAUGUUUGCAAGCAAUGGACUGACCAUGCCCAAAAGGAGAAAAUGAAAUAAGCUAUAGUAGUUAGAGCACUAGAACAGGGCAGUCAGCUCUACCACAAAUUUACUGUGACGCCUUGGGCAAAUAGCUUAAACUUUCUCUGCCCUAGUUUCCUCAUCAUUUUCAAUUAUGACAGUACUUUACAUGCGUGGUGUUAAAGUUUGUAAAGGGCUUGGAGUUCCUGGAAUGGAAAGAGUUAUAGAAAUUGCUAACAACAGAAUCAUCAUCAUCAUCACCAUCAUUAUUACAAACUAUCCCUUCACUGAAUGUGAUUGUUAUAGGCUAUAGCUGGCAACAAACGGGUAUCUUUUCCAGUCAGAAUCACAAGCAUUCCUUUUGCACACAUCUAAAGCUCCAAUUAAAUAUGCCAGAAUAUUUUCCCCAACUUGCCCUAAAUGUGGUUGCACCAUGGAUUCAUUUUACCAUAUGGCCUGGGAGAACAUGCUGAAGUAUGUAUGUUCUGGUGCUCCGCCUCCACGGGGAAAGGAGAGUUCCCUAGGUCUCUAACGCUACACUAAACAUCACACUAGUUCUCGCCUUGUUUGGAGUGGGGAAUAUAGAAAGCAGGCAGGGCAUAUACCAAAAUGUAUAUCGCAUACCAGCCAUCUUCUUUUUAGGGCAAAGAAAAUAUUGCAAAACCCAUUUGCAGAGACUGAAUUCUGGUCAUAACUGGCUAGGCAGAUGAUACAUAGGGACCACUUAAAAUACAGAUAAAGAUGUUAAGUACCAUAGAACACAGAACUCCUAUACAAAGUCUAAAGCAACAAACAAGAACAACAUCUCUUCAGUAAAUAGGACAUCAAAUUCAGACCUGGUAUAUAUCAAGGCACCUCCAUCACACCCACUUUCACCAGAUCUAAAUUUGGCUCAUGGCGCCUGUCUCCCUUAUGUGGUCAAUUCUCAACUUGGACCUUAAGGAAAGCUAGCACAAGUAUGUGUACAUGGGGAUGGGAAUCACGCCCCUACAGUCAUACUGUAGACAUACUCUGAAGCAUUUGGUAACUGGUCAAUUACAGCGAUAGGAUAUGGGAUAAAUAAACAAUUGUGGUCAGACCUGCCAUAGUAAUUCCUAUGUUCACAUCCAAAGUAUUACUAUUAUAUAGAAGUUACUGUUUGGGGCAAUCUUGUUAUGCAUGCUUUGGUUAUAUUUUACAUAGAGCUACCUGGGGCAAAUCAGUCAAUUCAUGCCUACAUGAACAUCAAGAAAGUUUUCGACAUCUUCGCUUAUUAGAAGUGACGAUAGGUGUACAAUACAA